AACAUUUAAUAGAACCAUUUAAUCUAGUCUAUCGUCAUUGCAUCUAUUUACAAAGGCAACCGUAGGCUAUGUCUAAAUGCGGGUUUAAAGACCCCUAUUCCAAAGCAGUCGUGCAAAUGGCUUCAUUCCCUGACUCCGACUUGACUACAUGUCCCCUAUGCAAACAACUGUGCUGCUCCUCUGCUCCACUCUCCUCCAACUCUUCUACCUCCUCCUCCUCGUCUCAUACCUCAACUAGCUCAUCUACCUCAUCCUCCAGAAGGCUCCACGUCCUCCCAUGCCUCCAUGCCUUCUGCAGGCAGUGUCUGGAGGGCCAGCGGAACCCCGAAGACCCCUUGAAACUCCGGUGCCUGACUUGUGACCUAAAGGUUCUAAUGCCCGUAUCAGGAGUAGAUGCCUUGCCCUCGUCAAACUUUUUAUUUAGCAACAUGUUGGAUGCCGUGGUAAAUUUGUCUGAGGAGCAAAUCAACAAUACUGUUAGCAGUAGGGGUAACAACUUUUCUCACAGACACAGCAGAGAGCCCCUGUGCAGCUCUUGCAACGAGGGCAAUCCCGCUACCUCUCACUGCCGAGACUGCCAGGAGUACCUUGUAACAACUGUGUAUGGGCACACCAGAGGGUCCGGCUUACCAAAGACCAUUUCAUUGAUAGACUAGUGGAGAGUCUGUUUCACCAACACCUAGGGAACCGAACCAACAACUCUAACAACACUCCUACUGCCACUCUGAGCCGGUCCUCCUUCCAGUCAAGCUACUCUCUGCUGCCUGUCUUUCAAGACAGAGAGCAUGACAAUGCGGUUCUGCAUUUCUUCUGUGAUACGUGCUCCGUGCCUGUCUUUAGGGAGGCCAGUGUGGGUUGUCACUGGGCCACAGCCUCCUCAACCUCCAGGAUUCCCUGCAGGACUCCAGGACCCUCACCAUCCAGCUGCUGGCAGACGCCCAGCGAGGCAGGCACGCUGUACAGCUGAGCAUUGAGAAAGCACAGGCCGUUGCUGAGCAGGUGGAACUCAAGGCCAUGGUGGUCCAGUCAGAGGUCAAAGCCAUCACACAGCGUCAUAAGAAGGCCCUGGAGGAACGAGAGUGUGAACUACUGUGGAAAGUUGAGAAUAUCCGUCAGGUGAAAGCCAAGUCCCUCUAUCUCCAGUUAGAGAAGCUGCACCAGAACCUGACCAAGCUGGACAGCACCAUCUCUACAGUAACCCAGGUCCUAGAGAAGGGCAGUAGUCUGGACCUGCUGCUGGCCAGAGAGAGCAUGCUCCUCCAGAUCACAGAGCUUAAGGCCCUCAGGGAGCUGUUACUGCCGCAGGAUGAUGAUCGCAUCCUGUUCACCACCCCGACCAGACCUUGCUCCUCGCCAUCCAGUCCCUAGGUCUGGUCAGCUCCGGGCCUCGCCCCCUCACCAAGGCCCAGGGAGAGGGGCUUUGUCGGGGCUUGCAGGGUAAGCAGGCUUCCUUCACUGUGGUGGGGUAUGAUCAUGAUGGAGAGCUCAGGCUGUCUGGUGGGGACGGUGUGUCAGCUGUGGUGGUGGCGUCCGAUGGUAACCUGCUAAACGCUGAGGUGACCGACCAUCAGAACGGGUUGUACACGGUCAGCUACCUGCCCAAGGUAGAAGGAGAACAUCUGGUGUCAGUCCUUAUCUGCAACCAGCACAUCGAAGGCAGCCCCUUUAAAGUGCUGGUCAAGUCUGGCCGUAGCUAUAGAGGUACCCCUUUCCGGUGGCCUCGUUCGGCAGGGAGGGGGACGGAGAUGGGCAGCUGUGUCGCCCUGGGGGUGUGUGUGGACAAAGAGGGCUACAUAAUCGUAGCUGACCGAAGCAACAACAGGGUGCAGAUCUUCAAGCCGUGCGGUUCCUUCCACCACAAGUUUGGUACGCUGGGCUCCAGACCAGGCCAGUUGGACCGACCAGCUGGGGUGGCCUGCGACAGCCAGAGGAGAAUCAUCGUUGCCGACAAGGAUAAUCACCGCAUCCAGAUCUUCACCUUUGAAGGCCGGUUCCUCCUCAAGUUCGGGGAGAAGGGAACCAAGACCGGUCAGUUCAGCUACCCCUGGGACGUGGCGGUCAGCUCGGAGGGAAAGAUCCUCGUCUCAGACACCCGGAACCACCGCAUCCAGCUCUUCAGGCAGGACGGCACCUUCCUCAACAAGUACGGCUUUGAGGGGGCUCUAUGGAAACACUUGGACUCCCCAGAGGCGUGGCCUUCACUCAGGAGGACCACCUGGUGGUGACAGACUUCAACAACCACCGUCUGUUGAUCAUCCGGUCGGACUGCCAGUCGGCCCGCUUCCUGGGAUCAGAGGGAAGCGGUAACGGUCAGUUCCUGCGGCCGCAGGGCGUAGCAGUGGACCAGGAGGACCGCAUCGUGGUGGCUGACUCCCGAACCACCGGAUCCAGGUGUUUCAAACCAACGGUAAUUUCUUAUGCAAGUUGGGGACUCAGGGUAGCAGCUUUGGACAGAUGGAUCGCCCAUCGGGUAUAGCUGUUACUCCUGACGGAAGGAUUGUUGCCGUGGACUUUGGAAACAACCGAAUCAUUAUGUUCUAGGCUAGGCAGUUUGUCUGCUGGUUUGCAAAGGAAGAAACAUUGAAGAGGAGAUUUUGAAACACACCCAGCAGAUGCAAAUGUCUUUGUGAGCAAAUGGAGAUGGUAAUAUUGAAACUUGACCUUUUCUCUCAGCUUUACCUCUAUUUUGAAAGAGCAAAUCAAUGUAGAACAUGAACCGCUGCCAACAAGGGGUUAUUGUCAUAAGCUGACAUUUUGAACCCUAUAGAAGGCCUUCUGUGACAGUAUCUGGCUCGAUAGUUGUCUUUGCUCCUGAUGUGUGCGUCAAAAUCUCUGAUUUUCUCAGGGAAUUUCUUGCAUUGUUGAAAUACUUCCACUGCAUCAUACCUACCUCAUGUAGCUGUGUAUGAAUGUACUCCUUUAUUAUUUGAUGCAUAGAUUUUGCUAGUGGAGUUUUGAUAAAGUAACUACCUCAAUGCAAGAGAAAAGUAUAGUUAACAUGAAGCAACAUUUGGUUGAUAUUUGCACAGAAAGCACUCAUACAUUUUCUCUAAUUGUUACUGUUGACAUAAAGCGUGUGAAAUCCCAGAAUGUUGCUGAGAACAAUGUAUUUCCUGUGUUACAUACAUGUGGCAACGUGGAGUCAGACAUUUUUUUAUAAACUCAGCAACUGUUAUUUUUCCAUUUUGUUUUUAAAUAUGCCUUCAUACCUCUGUAAAAACCUUUUUUACCUCAUGUCACAACCACAUAGUACCUCAGAACUCCAGUGUCCUCAGGUCAAUAGUAUGCUGAGUCCCAAAUGGCACCCUAUUCCCUAAAUAGUGCACUACUUUUGACUAGAGCCCAUAGGGCACUGGUGCACUAAAUAGCGAAUAGGUUGUAAUCUGAGACUCGUCCUGUAAAAUGGAUUCUCUCCACAAAAUGGCUGCUGCCAGUUUGCUAUAGGCAGGUUGAAUAUUUGAUAUCAGUGACCAGUCAGUUCAGUCAGUUGUGUGAUUUCAGGGAAAACAUUUAACAAGGAAUUGACCAUCUUGAAUUUGGUGAAUCAUCAGAAUUGUUAUUUUCUGGGCAUCUAUGAAGAACUGUGACUUGAAACUACUGGCAAUCAUCAUUGUUGUUAGAUGAAUGAAUACAUGUCAGGAUUAAUAUAUCCUAAGGCAACUAGUGCAUUCGGCCACAACAUAGUGAAGAUUAGACAAUGACACAUUGGUGUGGGUUAACUUGGAUUUAAUCUCAACCAUGUCUGAACCUGAGUCUAAAUCUAUUUACUGAUAUCCAUUUAGAAAUCAUUGAAAUCUGUGUAGACUAACUCUCCUAAGAGUAGAGGGGUCUAAGAGUAGUGAAGUUUCAUUCUGAUAUUUUUUGAAGAACAACCUUUGUGCACAUGGUUGGUGGUUUAGAUUGGCACCCUAAUGACACUACCAUGUUCCUUUCUUUGUGAUCGUUGUUUGAAAAGUCAAUCGUUGCCUCUGGGCCUCGACUAUGUUCCCGUCAAAGAAAGUCAUCCGUUUAGCUUUGUUUCCUUCAAAAUAGAAUGCGUCAAACAUGGGAAACCGCGAGAAUAUUGUUUUAUCCUGGUGGCAAAUUAAAUAAUUUAAAAAAGUAAAACUGACCAGUAAAUUUAAAAGUGGCAGCAUUGAUGUUGAUCUCCAUUGCCUCCAUAGUAUUUUCAAUAGAUAUUCUCCGUAGUAACCCCUAGCUGCUUGUCAGUUGCCUGAUGACCCACUCAUGUAGCCUACAGAUGGCUGAGUAACCAAAGCAAAAGGCUCCACAUAAAUAGAAUUCCAUCAGCUGCUGCUCCCACACCCACAUUCACCCUGCUCUGAACUGUGAUGGCAGGGAGUCUGUUGGUCACAUUAGACGUUGGACUAUCAGUCAGCACAGCAGUUCCUCUCUAUUGUAUGUACCUCUGUCUGAGAGAACAUAACCAAACCAGGUCAUUCAUGGUUCCACAGUGGCUAUUAACUACAGAACAUCAAGAACCAGUAAAAAUGCUAAUGCUAAAAUUGAAUUCAUGUUUUUUUCACCAGCUGUAGCCUGCCCUGUGUUAUAAACUAGCUGUUCAUAGCUAUUAAUAUUGUGCUUAUAGCUUGAACUGUUAAAGCCAAGUCCCACUCUCCUCCCUCUGUGUCUCUGACUGUGUCUAAUGGGCCAGUAUUUCCUGUCUGUUGAGCCACAUUGCCGCAAGUGCUGGUUUACGAGGAGAGCUCGGUUCUUUCGAAAUGGCACACUAAUCCUAUAUAGCGCACUACUUUUGACCAGAGCUUUAUGAGCCCUGGUCAAUAGUAGUGCACUAAAUAGGGACUAGGUUGCCAUUUGGCACACCUAUGUGAGUUAGUGAGGCACCAUAGCUGUAGGUCUCCAGCUGCUCUAACCCCCAGAAGAGCUGGAAGGCAUGCAGCUCGCCAGACACACCUCAUAUCUCUUUUACCUUAAUAAUCACAGCUGAGUGUACAGGGGGACCAGUGAGACGUUGGGCUCCAGACACGGCUUACUCGGUUACAUCCUCUUAAUGAUUCAACCAAAAUGGCCACUUUUUAGAUGUUGAGUUUCCAGGUGUUUCAGUGGAUUAUUCACAUUGACACUGUUCCAGUGUUGUAGCUUGUGCCUUUUGUUAUACAGGAGAUAAAUUACACUUUCUGGGCCAUUUGUGACCAGCAGGAAAGGCAUUGUGACAAAAACAAACAGUAUAAAUGGACUAUUUGAGGUAAUAAAUAUAACUCUUAUAAAAAUGGCACACCAUCACUGUCAUUUAGUUGUUAAGUAUUUAAUGUUGUCCUUGCUGGUGUGACCCCUGGAAUAUAAAAAUAAUAAAAUAAUAAUGAUAUAUAUAUAUUUAACCAGACAAGUCAGUUAAGAACAAAUUCUUAUUGACAAUGACAACCCACUGUUCCCCGGUAGGCCAACUGCCUUGUGCAGGGGCAGAAUGACAGAUUUUUACCUUGUCAGCUCAGGGAUUCGAUCCAGCAACCUUUUGGUUACUGAUCCAAUGCUCUAACCACUGGGCAAACUGCCACCCCAUAUAUACCUCAUUAUACAGAAAGAUAUAGGUAUAAUGUACAUCUUUACCUCAGUAUUACUGAGCUACGCCCAUUACCUCAUUGCUGAACUGUUAAUACCUCGUUGGCAUGGUUGCAUUUUUCAAACCUCAGUUGAAUUGCAGUUAGAUGUGUGGUCUUAUAAUGUACUGUUGUUCCACUAAAGAAUGGAAAGGGAAGGCUUGGAGAAGUUAUGAACAGUUUGAUCAAGUAGAUUAAACCGAGGACAAUGCUGCUUCAAAUCCACACUGAUCUGAUGUAUUUUCAGUACAUUGUUGGUUCCUAUAGUUUGAACUUAAGUUUGCAGUGAAUGUUUCUUAAAAGACCUCAAGGUCUUGACACUUAGAAGACAAGACUUGUAUAUUUUAAUGCAUGAUUCAAAAAGUAAUUGUGGAAAAGAUUUGUCACUGCUUUUGAAUUAUUUUCGGGUUGUAGUAUGUUAGGUUGAGGAGGAUGGCUUCCUUUGACUAUAAGAUUGUAUCUGUUUUAUGAAUAGCCUUACUGGGCUCAAUCAAGUUACCUCAUGUCAAACAGAUUUCAAACAGAAAUACAUUUGCCUUAAAUAUUUCAGUAUUUUAUUAGGACCCUGAUUAGCUACUGCUGAAGCAGUACAUAACACUAUACUAGUAGAGGACAUUCAACAUGUACUCUGUCUAUACUUCCACAGUUGGAAGUAUCACAAAUAAUCAAGAAAACUACCAAGGGCUUAAAGGUAACCUUUGAACUUUGUUAUUUACCUGUUUCUGUAGUUAGUUUUUUGUCAGGUUGCAAAAUUCUGGUAACUUUACAGGUUUUCAAGAAUUCCAGGUUGGAGGAUUCCCGGAAUCAGGAGUGGAUAAAGAGGGCAUCUUCUAAACGGGAUUUCUGGGAAUUGGGGGAAAGUUUAUUUGCAACCCUAGCCGGAAGUGUACUUUGGGCUCCAUUUGAUCCAUAUGGUGGAAAUUCAGCACUAUAGAGAAAUGAAAGGCAAUGUUCCCACAUUUCAUGGAGACUGGCAGCGGUAACUGUGAAUGCAAUGUCGACUCAAAUCAGAAAGGACCUUUUUCCAUUUGAAUUGCACAGAACUUCUUCUGUGCAGAUUAAAUGGAGCCUCAGUCUAUCCAAACUAUUAGAAAUGGUCUGUGUUCCAUCCUCCACAGUAAGGUAUCUGGUUGAGCAGUAUGGGAGGAUUCCAGCAUUGGUACUUUUCUUCUCAUGGAGAUAAACAACCGAAGCCUAUCAGUUCAUAAGAACAUGGUCUUAGACAAAUUGACUACAUGAUCAUAUUAAAGUCAAACUCCGAUAGGUAUAAUGCUAGUGUUCCACGUUUUCAAAAACUCUCAAUAAGCAGCU